UUAAGCGACUAAGCGUACACGGUGGAUGCCCUGGCAGUCAGAGGCGAUGAAGGACGUGCUAAUCUGCGAUAAGCGUCGGUGAGGUGAUAUGAACCGUUAUAACCGGCGAUUUCCGAAUGGGGAAACCCAGUGUGUUUCGACACACUAUCAUUAACUGAAUCCAUAGGUUAAUGAGGCGAACCGGGGGAACUGAAACAUCUAAGUACCCCGAGGAAAAGAAAUCAACCGAGAUUCCCCCAGUAGCGGCGAGCGAACGGGGAGGAGCCCAGAGCCUGAAUCAGUGUGUGUGUUAGUGGAAGCGUCUGGAAAGGCGUGCGAUACAGGGUGACAGCCCCGUACACAAAAAUGCACAUAUUGUGAGCUCGAUGAGUAGGGCGGGACACGUGGUAUCCUGUCUGAAUAUGGGGGGACCAUCCUCCAAGGCUAAAUACUCCUGACUGACCGAUAGUGAACCAGUACCGUGAGGGAAAGGCGAAAAGAACCCCGGCGAGGGGAGUGAAAAAGAACCUGAAACCGUGUACGUACAAGCAGUGGGAGCCUCUUAAUGGGGUGACUGCGUACCUUUUGUAUAAUGGGUCAGCGACUUAUAUUCUGUAGCAAGGUUAACCGAAUAGGGGAGCCGAAGGGAAACCGAGUCUUAACUGGGCGUUAAGUUGCAGGGUAUAGACCCGAAACCCGGUGAUCUAGCCAUGGGCAGGUUGAAGGUUGGGUAACACUAACUGGAGGACCGAACCGACUAAUGUUGAAAAAUUAGCGGAUGACUUGUGGCUGGGGGUGAAAGGCCAAUCAAACCGGGAGAUAGCUGGUUCUCCCCGAAAGCUAUUUAGGUAGCGCCUCGUGAAUUCAUCUCCGGGGGUAGAGCACUGUUUCGGCAAGGGGGUCAUCCCGACUUACCAACCCGAUGCAAACUGCGAAUACCGGAGAAUGUUAUCACGGGAGACACACGGCGGGUGCUAACGUCCGUCGUGAAGAGGGAAACAACCCAGACCGCCAGCUAAGGUCCCAAAGUCAUGGUUAAGUGGGAAACGAUGUGGGAAGGCCCAGACAGCCAGGAUGUUGGCUUAGAAGCAGCCAUCAUUUAAAGAAAGCGUAAUAGCUCACUGGUCGAGUCGGCCUGCGCGGAAGAUGUAACGGGGCUAAACCAUGCACCGAAGCUGCGGCAGCGACGCUUAUGCGUUGUUGGGUAGGGGAGCGUUCUGUAAGCCUGUGAAGGUGGCCUGUGAGGGUUGCUGGAGGUAUCAGAAGUGCGAAUGCUGACAUAAGUAACGAUAAAGCGGGUGAAAAGCCCGCUCGCCGGAAGACCAAGGGUUCCUGUCCAACGUUAAUCGGGGCAGGGUGAGUCGACCCCUAAGGCGAGGCCGAAAGGCGUAGUCGAUGGGAAACAGGUUAAUAUUCCUGUACUUGGUGUUACUGCGAAGGGGGGACGGAGAAGGCUAUGUUGGCCGGGCGACGGUUGUCCCGGUUUAAGCGUGUAGGCUGGUUUUCCAGGCAAAUCCGGAAAAUCAAGGCUGAGGCGUGAUGACGAGGCACUACGGUGCUGAAGCGACAAAUGCCCUGCUUCCAGGAAAAGCCUCUAAGCAUCAGGUAACAUCAAAUCGUACCCCAAACCGACACAGGUGGUCAGGUAGAGAAUACCAAGGCGCUUGAGAGAACUCGGGUGAAGGAACUAGGCAAAAUGGUGCCGUAACUUCGGGAGAAGGCACGCUGAUAUGUAGGUGAAGCGACUUGCUCGUGGAGCUGAAAUCAGUCGAAGAUACCAGCUGGCUGCAACUGUUUAUUAAAAACACAGCACUGUGCAAACACGAAAGUGGACGUAUACGGUGUGACGCCUGCCCGGUGCCGGAAGGUUAAUUGAUGGGGUUAGCGGUAACGCGAAGCUCUUGAUCGAAGCCCCGGUAAACGGCGGCCGUAACUAUAACGGUCCUAAGGUAGCGAAAUUCCUUGUCGGGUAAGUUCCGACCUGCACGAAUGGCGUAAUGAUGGCCAGGCUGUCUCCACCCGAGACUCAGUGAAAUUGAACUCGCUGUGAAGAUGCAGUGUACCCGCGGCAAGACGGAAAGACCCCGUGAACCUUUACUAUAGCUUGACACUGAACAUUGAGCCUUGAUGUGUAGGAUAGGUGGGAGGCUUUGAAGUGUGGACGCCAGUCUGCAUGGAGCCGACCUUGAAAUACCACCCUUUAAUGUUUGAUGUUCUAACGUGGGCCCCUUACCGGGGUUGCGGACAGUGUCUGGUGGGUAGUUUGACUGGGGCGGUCUCCUCCUAAAGAGUAACGGAGGAGCACGAAGGUUGGCUAAUCCUGGUCGGACAUCAGGAGGUUAGUGCAAUGGCAUAAGCCAGCUUGACUGCGAGCGUGACGGCGCGAGCAGGUGCGAAAGCAGGUCAUAGUGAUCCGGUGGUUCUGAAUGGAAGGGCCAUCGCUCAACGGAUAAAAGGUACUCCGGGGAUAACAGGCUGAUACCGCCCAAGAGUUCAUAUCGACGGCGGUGUUUGGCACCUCGAUGUCGGCUCAUCACAUCCUGGGGCUGAAGUAGGUCCCAAGGGUAUGGCUGUUCGCCAUUUAAAGUGGUACGCGAGCUGGGUUUAGAACGUCGUGAGACAGUUCGGUCCCUAUCUGCCGUGGGCGCUGGAGAACUGAGGGGGGCUGCUCCUAGUACGAGAGGACCGGAGUGGACGCAUCACUGGUGUUCGGGUUGUCAUGCCAAUGGCACUGCCCGGUAGCUAAAUGCGGAAGAGAUAAGUGCUGAAAGCAUCUAAGCACGAAACUUGCCCCGAGAUGAGUUCUCCCUGAGACUUAGAGUCUCCUGAAGGAACGUUGAAGACGACGACGUUGAUAGGCCGGGUGUGUAAGCGCAGCGAUGCGUUGAGCUAACCGGUACUAAUGAACCGUGAGGCUUAACCUU
rnacentral:rRNA from 1 species